GGGGCCUUAGCUCAGAUGGGAGAGCGCAACACUGGCAGUGUUGAGGUCGGCGGUUCGAUCCCGCCAGGCUCCACCA
rnacentral:tRNA from 1 species